UCACAAGUAAAGGUGUAUUCACUGAAUAAGCCAUCGCUCCCUCGAGCAUCAUCUCACAAGUCCUUCUCAUCUCCUGCUGGAAAGAUUGACCAUCUUCAUCAUGAAGUACAUCAGCGUUAGUCUUUGCCUUUUGGUCACAGUAUUUUCCCUCGCCAAUGCAGGCUGCCCAAAGACGUUUACGAAGACAGGCAAUCAUUACGAACUGAGGCAAUCAGGGUUAAGAUGUAGCUUGAUUGAAUGUUAUGAACAUGGAAGUGAAAUGGCGAUGAGUAUGAAGAUCUGUGCAAUGUCGCAAGGGGGGCAACCUACUUGCGGUGAUGCUAAACUACAGGACGAAGGCUGUUAUUGGGUCGAUGUUAAAGAUUUAUCAAAAGUCUAUCCUUUUUGCUGUACCAAGUAUAAGAAAAUAUGCAAGGGCCAGGCCGGAUUUGAUGCAAGUAAAGUUCCCCAUGUGUCAAAGGAGCGCCGAGAAGACGCAAGGUGUUAAAUUACAUGCGAAUAGCAUCACAUGAUUGUAGUUGUAUUUGUAUUGUAGCUGCAUGUUCUUUAUUUGAGCAUAGAAAACGCAUUAACUACUUCCCUCCCUUUGGACCGAAUCUUACCAGUAAUAGAUCUCUAGACAAAAACGUUAUUUCUUAAUAUCGUUCUUAAUAACAACCGAACAACAGAAUGCUCGCCCACAAUGAUAAUCUGUAAUGUAAUAUCUUUACAUGAAUAAAAAUAGCAUUGCUGAAA